ACUGCACAUAAUGGCCAUUGUGACAUAUAUUUAGGCCAAUUGCCUAGGUAAAGGCAGCCUCCUGUUUUGCCAAAGUCCUGCCCACACAGAGGGGAUCACUGAAACCAGUAUCCAGGUGAUAUUGUUCCAUAUACCUGAGACCAUAACAAAAGCCUAAUUACAACUCAUAUGGCUGGAGCCAGGACAUGUGCAGGAUGGUGAUGUAAUUCUCCUCUCUGGAACAGGCCAUGAACAAAGGAAAGAUCGUGACAUAUUGCAAGAUCAGGCACACACGAACAUUGUGACAUCACUGGAUGUAGCAUCUAGGAAACGUGACUCUCCUCUUCUUCCUAGGUCCUGCCCACAAAAGGAAUUGUGACAUACCACUGAGUGCAAAACCUAG
rnacentral:lncRNA from 1 species